UUAAGCGACUAAGCGUACACGGUGGAUGCCCUGGCAGUCAGAGGCGAUGAAGGGCGUGCUAAUCUGCGAUAAGCGCCGGUAAGGUGAUAUGAACCGUUAUAACCGGCGAUACCCGAAUGGGGAAACCCAGUGUGACUCGUCACACUAUCAUUAACUGAAUCCAUAGGUUAAUGAGGCGAACCGGGGGAACUGAAACAUCUAAGUACCCCGAGGAAAAGAAAUCAACCGAGAUUCCCCCAGUAGCGGCGAGCGAACGGGGAGGAGCCCAGAGCCUGAAUCAGCAUGUGUGUUAGUGGAAGCGUCUGGAAAGGCGCGCGAUACAGGGUGACAGCCCCGUACACAAAAGCGCAUGUGCUGUGAGCUCGAUGAGUAGGGCGGGACACGUGGUAUCCUGUCUGAAUAUGGGGGGACCAUCCUCCAAGGCUAAAUACUCCUGACUGACCGAUAGUGAACCAGUACCGUGAGGGAAAGGCGAAAAGAACCCCGGCGAGGGGAGUGAAAAAGAACCUGAAACCGUGUACGUACAAGCAGUGGGAGCACAGGUUUACCUGUGUGACUGCGUACCUUUUGUAUAAUGGGUCAGCGACUUAUAUUCUGUAGCAAGGUUAACCGUAUAGGGGAGCCGGAGGGAAACCGAGUCUUAAUUGGGCGUUAAGUUGCAGGGUAUAGACCCGAAACCCGGUGAUCUAGCCAUGGGCAGGUUGAAGGUUGGGUAACACUAACUGGAGGACCGAACCGACUAAUGUUGAAAAAUUAGCGGAUGACCUGUGGCUGGGGGUGAAAGGCCAAUCAAACCGGGAGAUAGCUGGUUCUCCCCGAAAGCUAUUUAGGUAGCGCCUCGUGAAUUCAUCUCCGGGGGUAGAGCACUGUUUCGGCUAGGGGGCCAUCCCGGCUUACCAACCCGAUGCAAACUGCGAAUACCGGAGAAUGUUAUCACGGGAGACACACGGCGGGUGCUAACGUCCGUCGUGAAGAGGGAAACAACCCAGACCGCCAGCUAAGGUCCCAAAGUCAUGGUUAAGUGGGAAACGAUGUGGGAAGGCCCAGACAGCCAGGAUGUUGGCUUAGAAGCAGCCAUCAUUUAAAGAAAGCGUAAUAGCUCACUGGUCGAGUCGGCCUGCGCGGAAGAUGUAACGGGGCUAAACCAUGCACCGAAGCUGCGGCAGCGACGCUGAUGCGUUGUUGGGUAGGGGAGCGUUCUGUAAGCCUGUGAAGGUGUGUCGUGAGGCAUGCUGGAGGUAUCAGAAGUGCGAAUGCUGACAUAAGUAACGAUAAAGCGGGUGAAAAGCCCGCUCGCCGGAAGACCAAGGGUUCCUGUCCAACGUUAAUCGGGGCAGGGUGAGUCGACCCCUAAGGCGAGGCCGAAAGGCGUAGUCGAUGGGAAACGGGUUAAUAUUCCCGUACUUGGUGUUACUGCGAAGGGGGGACGGAGAAGGCUAUGUUGGCCGGGCGACGGUUGUCCCGGUUUAAGCGUGUAGGUGUGUGUUCCAGGUAAAUCCGGUUCACUUUAACACUGAGGCGUGACGACGAGGCACUACGGUGCUGAAGCAACAAAUGCCCUGCUUCCAGGAAAAGCCUCUAAGCAUCAGGUAACAUCAAAUCGUACCCCAAACCGACACAGGUGGUCAGGUAGAGAAUACCAAGGCGCUUGAGAGAACUCGGGUGAAGGAACUAGGCAAAAUGGUGCCGUAACUUCGGGAGAAGGCACGCUGACACGUAGGUGAAGUGAUUUACUCAUGGAGCUGAAGUCAGUCGAAGAUACCAGCUGGCUGCAACUGUUUAUUAAAAACACAGCACUGUGCAAACACGAAAGUGGACGUAUACGGUGUGACGCCUGCCCGGUGCCGGAAGGUUAAUUGAUGGGGUCAGCGCAAGCGAAGCUCCUGAUCGAAGCCCCGGUAAACGGCGGCCGUAACUAUAACGGUCCUAAGGUAGCGAAAUUCCUUGUCGGGUAAGUUCCGACCUGCACGAAUGGCGUAAUGAUGGCCAGGCUGUCUCCACCCGAGACUCAGUGAAAUUGAACUCGCUGUGAAGAUGCAGUGUACCCGCGGCAAGACGGAAAGACCCCGUGAACCUUUACUAUAGCUUGACACUGAACAUUGAGCCUUGAUGUGUAGGAUAGGUGGGAGGCUUUGAAGUGUGGACGCCAGUCUGCAUGGAGCCGACCUUGAAAUACCACCCUUUAAUGUUUGAUGUUCUAACGUGGACCCGUAAUCCGGGUUGCGGACAGUGUCUGGUGGGUAGUUUGACUGGGGCGGUCUCCUCCUAAAGAGUAACGGAGGAGCACGAAGGUUGGCUAAUCCUGGUCGGACAUCAGGAGGUUAGUGCAAUGGCAUAAGCCAGCUUGACUGCGAGCGUGACGGCGCGAGCAGGUGCGAAAGCAGGUCAUAGUGAUCCGGUGGUUCUGAAUGGAAGGGCCAUCGCUCAACGGAUAAAAGGUACUCCGGGGAUAACAGGCUGAUACCGCCCAAGAGUUCAUAUCGACGGCGGUGUUUGGCACCUCGAUGUCGGCUCAUCACAUCCUGGGGCUGAAGUAGGUCCCAAGGGUAUGGCUGUUCGCCAUUUAAAGUGGUACGCGAGCUGGGUUUAGAACGUCGUGAGACAGUUCGGUCCCUAUCUGCCGUGGGCGCUGGAGAACUGAGGGGGGCUGCUCCUAGUACGAGAGGACCGGAGUGGACGCAUCACUGGUGUUCGGGUUGUCAUGCCAAUGGCACUGCCCGGUAGCUAAAUGCGGAAGAGAUAAGUGCUGAAAGCAUCUAAGCACGAAACUUGCCCCGAGAUGAGUUCUCCCUGAGACUUAGAGUCUCCUGAAGGAACGUUGAAGACGACGACGUUGAUAGGCCGGGUGUGUAAGCGCAGCGAUGCGUUGAGCUAACCGGUACUAAUGAACCGUGAGGCUUAACCUU
rnacentral:rRNA from 1 species